AUGGCCAAAGGCCCAAAGGUAACACAUCCUGAGUAUGUUGAUUUCAAUAGUGAUGAAGAUGACUUGCUUGUGGAUGAUGAUUUACUUGUUGACAACUCUAGUGAUGAAUACUAUGAUGAAACAUCAAUUAAUCAUGCUAAUCAAGAUAAAAUGAAUGACAAUGAUAAGGAGAAGAUUGAGCUUCUAACUAAAGAACUAAACACUCUUAAGUUAGCUCAUGAAACUAUCUUCGAAGAUCAUCGAGAACUUUUAAGGGCUCAUGAGAAGUUACGCUUUGAAAAGCUCAAUCUUGAGCAAGAGCAUGAGUUCUUAAAAGCAAUCAAUGAUGAUCUCCGCAAGAAAAGUUCUUCUUACAUUGCCAAGCAUUUACUCUUAUCUACUUACAUGCCUCAAGUCAAGUCUAGUAACAAGUACAAGAAAGAUACUUCCUCUAGUAGUAACAAUAAUAACGUC
rnacentral:rRNA from 1 species